rnacentral:misc_RNA from 1 species
GAAAUGCGAUAAGUAAUGUGAAUUGCAGAAUUCAGUGAAUCAUCGAAUCUUUGAACGCACAUUGCGCCCGCCAGUAUUCUGGCGGGCAUGUCUGUUCGAGCGUCAUUUCAACCAUCAAGCCCCCGGCUUGUGUUGGGGACCUGCGGCUGCCCGCAGGCCCUGAAAAACAGUGGCGGGCUCGCUGUCACACCGAGCGUAGUAGCAUACAUUCUCGCUCAGGGCGUGCUGCGGGUUCCGGCCGUUAAACGACCUUCAUAACCCAAGGUUGACCUCGGAUCAGGUAGGAAGACCCGCUGAACUUAAGC